rnacentral:rRNA from 1 species
CAGCAGCCGCGGGAAUACGGAGGGUGCAAGCGUUAAUCGGAUUUACUGGGCGUAAAGCGUGCGUAGGCGGCUUCUUAAGUCGGAUGUGAAAUCCCUGAGCUUAACUUAGGAAUUGCAUUCGAUACUGGGAAGCUAGAGUAUGGGAGAGGAUGGUAGAAUUCCAGGUGUAGCGGUGAAAUGCGUAGAGAUCUGGAGGAAUACCGAUGGCGAAGGCAGCCAUCUGGCCUAAUACUGACGCUGAGGUACGAAAGCAUGGGGAGCAAACAGGAUUAGAUACCCGAGUAGUCCCUGUCUCUUAUAC